rnacentral:rRNA from 1 species
CCGCUGACGAGCGGCGGACGGGUGAGUAAUGCAUAGGAAUCUGCCCGGUAGUGGGGGAUAGCCCGGGGAAACCCGGAUUAAUACCGCAUACGCCCUACGGGGGAAAGCAGGGGAUCUUCGGACCUUGCGCUAUUGGAUGAGCCUAUGUCGGAUUAGCUUGUUGGUGGGGUAAUGGCUCACCAAGGCGACGAUCCGUAGCUGGUCUGAGAGGAUGAUCAGCCACAUCGGGACUGAGACACGGCCCGAACUCCUACGGGAGGCAGCAGUGGGGAAUAUUGGACAAUGGGGGCAACCCUGAUCCAGCCAUGCCGCGUGUGUGAAGAAGGCUUUCGGGUUGUAAAGCACUUUCAGUGAGGAGGAAAACCUUAUGGCUAAUACCCAUGAGGCUUGACGUUACUCACAGAAGAAGCACCGGCUAACUCCGUGCCAGCAGCCGCGGUAAUACGGAGGGUGCAAGCGUUAAUCGGAAUUACUGGGCGUAAAGCGCGCGUAGGUGGUUUGAUAAGCGAGAUGUGAAAGCCCCGGGCUUAACCUGGGAACGGCAUUUCGAACUGUCAGGCUAGAGUGUGGUAGAGGGUAGUGGAAUUUCCUGUGUAGCGGUGAAAUGCGUAGAUAUAG